UCCUCCCGGUCCAGCCGCACGCCUGCGCAGUGAAGCUGGAUGCUCGCGGGUCGGGUUCCUCUCCUGGGUCUCGUGUGGUGCCGAGCGACCCGAUGUCGGAGCCCCAGGCCGAGUCGGAACCCCUGCUGGGCCGGGCCCGUGGAGGCAGCGACCACGACUGCUCUGAGGGGCUGCUGGCUUCCAGCAGCGUCCAAGUCGACUCCGGUGCCAUGGCCAGGCAGGACCUCUGCAUCGACCAGGCUGUGGUCUUCAUCGAAGAUGCUAUUCAGUGGGACAGGGGGCAUCCUGGGGAAUGACACUGUUGUGCUGGAGAUGAGGGGCCACCCUUGCAUGGAGGAGAAGAGAGCCUCACAGAGGCACAGCUGUGUGUUCUGCAAACACAGCUCCUUCUGGACCCCGUGCCUGACCUUUGGGAAGUGCUUGGUCUGCUGGUACCGCUCUAUCUUCCAUCGCAUGGAUGCCCGCUCGAUGUGUCUUUACCGAUGGUAUUACUCGAACCUGUGCCAACGGACUCUGAGCUUUACCAUCUUCUUGAUCCUGUUUUUGGCUUUUAUCGAGACCCCAUCCUCGCUCACGAGGACUGCAGAUGUGCGUUAUCGCUCCCUGCCCUGGGAGCCACCCUGCGGCCUGAUGGAGGGCGUGGAGCUGCUCUGCCUGCUGGUCUUUGUGGCCGAUGUCUCUGUGAAGGGCUAUCUGGUCGGUUGGUCCCAGUUCCAGAGGAACCUCUGGCUGCUGGCCUACCUCACAGUGCUGGUCGUGUCCCUGGUGGACUGGACUGUGUCCCUGAGUCUUCUUUGUCAGGAGCCGCUGCGCAUGCGCCGCCUCCUGCGCCCCUUCUUCCUGCUGCAGAACUCCUCCAUGAUGAAGAAGACCUUGAAGUGCAUCCGGUCGUCACUGCCGGACAUGGCCAGCGUCGGGCUGUUGCUGGCCAUUCACCUGUGCCUCUUUACAACGUUUGGGAUGCUGCUGUUCACCGUCGGCGAGAAGGAUAUGGAGCCGAACAGGGAGAGACUGGCCUACUUUCGGAGUCUGCCAGAGGCUCUGACCUCCCUCCUGGUGCUGCUGACCACCGCCAACAACCCUGAUGUGAUGAUUCCUGCGUAUUCCAAGAACCGGGCCUACGCCAUCUUCUUCGUAGUCUUCACCAUGAUAGGAAGUCUAUUUCUCAUGAACCUGCUCACCGCCAUCAUCUAUAACCAGUUCCGCGGCUACCUGAUGAAAUCUCUGCAGACCUCACUGUUCCGGCGUCGGCUGGGCACCCGAGCUGCCUAUGAAGUCCUCUCCUCCAGGCUGGGGCAGGCGGGAGCCACUCCUGAGGCAGUUGGGGUGAAACCUCAGAACUUCCUGCAGGUGCUUCAGAAAGUGCAGAUGACCAAUUCUCACAAACAGGCCAUCAUGGAGAAGGUGCACUCCUACAAUGAUACCCUGCUGUCAGCCGACGAGUUCCAGAAGGUCUUCGACGAACUUGACAAAAGUGUGAUCAAAGAGCACCCGCUGAAGCCCCAGUACCAGUCUCCGUUUCUCCAGACUGCCCAGUUCCUCUUCAGCCACUACUACUUCGACUACCUGGGGAACAUCAUCGCCCUGGGCAACCUUGUGUCCAUUUGCGUGUUCCUGGUGCAGGAUGCUGAUGUGCUGCCCAGGAACCGCGAUGACUUUGUCCUGGGGAUCCUGGACUGCAUCUUCAUCCUGUACUACGUGCUGGAGCUGCUGCUCAAGGUCUUCGCUCUGGGCCCGUGGGGCUACCUGUCCUACCCCAGCAAUGUGUGUGACGGCCUCCUGACCUCCAUCCUGUUGGUUUUAGAGAUCUCUACUCUGGCUGUGUACGGAUUCCCACACCCACGGUGGAAGCCGGAGACGCUGGGCCUGCUGUCCCUGUGGGACAUGACGAGGCUGGUGAACAUGCUCAUCGUGUUCCGGUUCCUGCGCAUCAUACCCAACAUGAAGCCCAUGGCCAUGGUGGUCAGUACCGUCCUGGGCCUGGUCCAGAACCUUCGGGCCUUUGGUGGGAUCCUGGUGGUGGUAUACUACGUGUUCGCUAUCGUGGGGAUCAGCCUGUUCCGAGGCACCAUUGUGGCUCCCUUUGGAAACAGCAGCCUGGCCCCUGCCAAUGGUUCUGCAUCCUGUGGGAGCUUUGAGCAGCUGGAGUACUGGGCCAACAACUUCGAUGACUUUGCGGCUGCCCUGGUCACUCUGUGGAAUGUGAUGGUGGUGAACAACUGGCAGGUGAUCCUGGAUGCGUAUGAACGCUACGUGGGCCCGUGGUCCAAGAUCUACUUUGUGCUGUGGUGGCUUGUGUCAUCCGUCAUAUGGGUCAACCUCUUUCUGGCUCUGCUCCUGGAGAACUUCCUCCACAGAUGGGACCCCCAAAAUCAUGAGCAGCCCCCUGCUGGGAGCGUGGAGGCUGCAUACCAGAUGUCGGAGGAGCUCAUGUUCAGGGACAUUCUGGAGGAGCCCAGGGAGGAGGAGCUGACAGAGAAGCUGUGUCGUCACCCCCACCUGUGGCUGUGCAGGUGACAUCCUGAUGGCCUUCGAGAUCUGGGACCGAUGCAUUGUGGAAGAGGCAGCUGCUCACAGCCAGGCAGAGAGGACUGUGCCUUUGACAGACCUCAUCUCGGGACAGGCGGAGAUGGGAUGGGGACAGUCACCGUCACCGCCAGGUUCUCCCUAUAGCUUGGAUGGGACAGUGCUCCAGGGGACCUUGUGGCGUGCUGCUCUCUUCUGUAAGCUGCUUCCGGGAGAUGAGAUGGUGACUUCACAGAGACCUUGAAGACAGCCUGGAAAGUGAAAAGCAGUGGCCUUCUCCUCGGGCCCUGCAGCUUCCAUGCAACCUUCGCUGCUGGUGGCCUUUAGGGACCAGAGCCCUGCACCGGGCCUGCACAGGGAGGCUCUCACAGAGACAUGACCUGCCUGGAUGAGCAAGUCAGCCUUGCCUUGGAGGAUCAAGUCUCCUGAAUGGCGUCCCCACCUGGAGAAGCUCCUCAAGGUGCCAUGUCCCUGGUGGACACCAGAAGCAGAAGCAGCCCCACGUGUAGUGCCUGGUAUGUAGCAGAUGCUCAAUAAAUGUUUGUAGUACAAAUGAA